GCACAUUUGGUCUAGCGGUUAGAACGCUGGCCUUGUAAUCCUGGGGUCUCGGGUUCGAUUCCCGGCGGUGCC
rnacentral:tRNA from 1 species